CAAAUUAAAGCUUUAUUAGAAAAGUAUUUUAUUUACAUUAAAAAGUUAUUGUGCGAUUCAAUUAAUUUGA
rnacentral:tRNA from 1 species